CAACCCGGGAUUGCCUUAGUAACGGCGAGUGAAGCGGCAAAAGCUCAAAUUUGAAAUCUGGUACCUUCGGUGCCCGAGUUGUAAUUUGGAGAGGGCAACUUUGGGGCCGUUCCUUGUCUAUGUUCCUUGGAACAGGACGUCAUAGAGGGUGAGAAUCCCGUGUGGCGAGGAGUGCGGUUCUUUGUAAAGUGCCUUCGAAGAGUCGAGUUGUUUGGGAAUGCAGCUCUAAGUGGGUGGUAAAUUCCAUCUAAAGCUAAAUAUUGGCGAGAGACCGAUAGCGAACAAGUACAGUGAUGGAAAGAUGAAAAGAACUUUGAAAAGAGAGUGAAAAAGUACGUGAAAUUGUUGAAAGGGAAGGGCAUUUGAUCAGACAUGGUGUUUUGUGCCCUCUGCUCCUUGUGGGUAGGGGAAUCUCGCAUUUCACUGGGCCAGCAUCAGUUUUGGUGGCAGGAUAAAUCCAUAGGAAUGUAGCUUGCCUCGGUAAGUAUUAUAGCCUGUGGGAAUACUGCCAGCCUGGGACUGARGACUGCGACGUAAGUCAAGGAUGCUGGCAUAAUGGUUAUAUGCCGCCCGUCUUGAACCCCCGGGMCC
rnacentral:rRNA from 1 species